UACGUAGGAGGCAAGCGUUGUCCGGAAUUACUGGGCGUAAAGGGCGCGUAGGCGGCCUGUUAAGUCGAACGUGAAAUCCCCGGGCUCAACCCGGGAACUGCGUCCGAUACCGGCAGGCUUGAAUUCGGGAGAGGGAUGCGGAAUUCCAGGUGUAGCGGUGAAAUGCGUAGAUAUCUGGAGGAACACCGGUGGCGAAGGCGGUUCUCUGGGCCUUACCUGACGCUGAGGAGCGAAAGCAUGGGGAGCGAACAGG
rnacentral:rRNA from 1 species